CUUCUUUUUAUUAUUAUUUUACGCGUGGCCAGUUCAAGUUUUUGUUUCAGAUUAUGGAUGAAAUUGUUUGUCAUGAUAUUUACGUCUUUUCUAGACAUUUAAUUCGCAUGAUUACUAGAAAGUGGUCACUGAUGCAUGACUUGAUCACGAAUGGACUGAGCCAAUCAUGUGGAGAGUCAGUCUUCACAAAUAUGUGGUCCAGACAAGACCGUGCUUUGCCUACGAUUCAACUGUACUUGGCGAUAUUACGGUUGAAAUUCAGUGGACACGUAGAAUGUGACAUAUAUAUGCCAGUUAUGACAAUAUUACAAUCAUUAUAUUUU